CAUGAUUAUAAAAGCCCUACUCUCUCUCUCUCAACUUUGAAACUUUUUCACAAGUUGGUCGCUGGUCUCCCACAGCCAGUCAGUGGUGAAUCUCUUCCAAUUUUUGCUAGAAUCGCAGCGAAGUGAUGAGUUCCUCACAUAGAUACAAAAUUUCAGAGGAAGAGCGCAUUUUGGCCCAGGUUUCGAUGGGCAACACCAAAUAUAUAUCAAUUGUCCUCAACAAAUUCAAUGCACAACUGAUGAGUGUGUUUUACUUACGAGUUUAUGCAAAUUUUAACUUGAUUUUAAGCUAGAAUUCACGAGUAUAAAACGUUUUUAAUGUGUGUAUUAAUGUUGUUUUAUAGGUUUGUCGAGAUGGCGAAGGAUAUGAAAAAAGAUCAUUAAAUUGAAGUUAGUGGCAUGGACAAAAAAGAAGUUGUGACACAGGGGCAAAAAUUAGACAAAGCAAAGAUGGGACGAAUGGGGCACCAAAAAGCAAGAAAUCAAGAAGAACCAGAGUGUGGGCACCGCAGCGCCACAUUCAGGACGCUGUGACGCCCCACCUUGCGUCGUGGCGCCGAGACACAAAAAAGGGUGGCGCCCCAUCAAGUGACGCGGUGGUGCGACGCCGCACACAGGAUCGCUAGGGCGCAAAUUUUGGGACCGUUUUGGAGCCCAUGCGAGAAACCUAUUAUUCUCACACGGCAAGGGACCUAUAAAUACGUUUUUUCUGAGACUUUGAGGGGAACUACUCAUUCUUGAGGCAAAAGAACACUUCCUGGGAGAAAGGGGGAGAGAUUUAAAGGGAGAAGACAACGUCAAAUUCAUCGUGUGAAGUAUAAAUUGGAAGAAGAAUGAGUUCUUGGUGCAAGAUCCACCUUUUCUUCUACAUACUUAAUUCUAAAUUCGGUGAUGUACUCUAAGACAAUUUGUUGUUGUUCAUCUUUUAUUAUGCAUAGCUAAAUCCAUUGUUAUGGCGAAUAAUGUAACCCAUUUGAGAUCUUUUAUAUUUUAUUAUUAAGAUUCUUGAUUU